ACAGCUGUCACGUGGCUUGAAAUACACUCUUGAUCAGCUGCCUCCCCUGCCCUAACUGCUCCCCGCCAUGGCACCACUGGUAUUUCCUGGGCCCGCCACAUCUCAGAGUCUGCUUCCGGGGACCCGGGACUGAACCUUUACCUAUGGCAGAGUUUAAGAAGAUGGAUCAGGGCCAGACAUCUACAAAACCUGGAGCAAUGCUGUCCACACAGACCGCACUUCCCACUGGGCUUUCAACUGUGCAAACCUGGACCAGGAAACAUUUGCAAACCAUGGCAUGGUCUCCUUGGAUGUCUAGGAAGUCACUUUCCCGGUUCCCGAAGAAACCUUGGAAGAUUGGUGCCCUUUCUGUUAGGGAAUUCUGGAGUCUACGUGAGACUGGGGUGUGGAGUAUUUCCACCGUGAGCCACCUCAAUCUGAUAGAGUUGCAGCUGUGUCCUCAUCCGCCUGGAAAAAGACCACAGCUCAUGGAGUCUGAUUUUCCUUCCAAUCCUGUCUUACCAAAGGCCUGGGGAGUCCUUUCUGGUGGUCCCCUCCAUUGUUUCUACCUCAGCAUGACUUUUUAAAAUGGAGAUCUGAGAUCUCGAUGUUUCUGCAAUCCCACACUGUAGGCUACUGAAGCUCAAGAGUCUUUAAGAGUCUUACUCUGCAAUCUUAUUUCUUCGGCAAGUCAAGGCAGCCAAACAAGAGGUCAGAGAUGAAUGAGGGAGCAGAGUUGGAAUGUAUGGUCCCUGGCUAGCAUCUCUAGCAACAGCCCGUCAGACUAUUGAGGAGGCUAUUGCGCUAAUGUAGACGCAAAGCGUCAACUGGCAGUCUUUCCUGUGGAAUCAACACAGGGUUGAGGAUGGGAAGUGAAGUUGGGGGCCCAGGUGGAGCAUGUCCAUUCUCCUCUAAUGGGGUUUCCAUGGCGUCUGCUUCCCCUUGUCCUGCCCAUCACGAAUCCUAACUCACCAGUUCCUGCCAAGAAGAUCUUCAAAUCUAUCCUUCCUCCCCUUGUGAACACCAGCAUCCCCACCCCCCACCCCCCACCCCUGCCUAAGUCAUUGUCUACUAAGUCAUGAAAGCUGCCUUUCUGAACCAAAAAUCUGACCCUGCCAGCCCACAUUUUCCCCCAGCACUACAAUGGCCACACUGCACUGUGUAGUCUGGUUCCUAGGCACAGGUAUGUCAUGUUCUACCCUGUCACCUUUAUGGGGAUGUCUGGCCUAGGGCUGGAGCUCUGGCUCAUUGGGAAACAUCACGGUGAAGUGUUCCACGGCAUGGACUCAUUGCUAAGUACACUGGCUUUGAUCAGACAAGUAAUUUUUAAGUUUUGCAGUGAUCCAAGCCAAACUCCAGGCCGUGUACAUGUCAAAUAGGCACAGUACCACUGGUUUACAUGCCCAGCCUCGAGCAGAGAAGUUUAAGUUCAGGUCUUCAUCUAUAACACGCCCAUAGAAGGCUUAAAGGAGAAUCUAAAACUUUUUAUUUGUGUGUCAUGGAGUGGGGUUUGCCUGUGUGUGUGUGUGUGUGUGUGUGUGUGUGUGUGUGUGUGUGUGUGUAUGUGUGUGUGUGUACACCACAUGCCUGUAGAAAGAGGACUGAAAUUAGAGAUGGUUGUGAGCCACCUUGUGGGUGCUUAGGGUCCCUUCCUGGUCUUCUGCAAGAGUAGCCACUGUUCUUGACCACUGAGCCAUCUCUCCAGCCCCCUACGUGAGAAUGUUUCAUAUAGGUGCCUAGCACACAGUCAGAGCUCUGUAGAUUUUUUUUUAAAUAAAAUUAUCCCCUGGAUGUCCAAUGUUCACCUACCU
rnacentral:lncRNA from 1 species